GAUCAUGGCUCAGGACGAACGCUGGCGGCGUGCUUAACACAUGCAAGUCGAACGAGAAUCUACUGAAAGAGUUUUUGGACAAUGGAAGUAGAGGAAAGUGGCGGACGGGUGAGUAACGCGUGAGGAACCUGCCUUGAAGAGGGGGACAACAGUUGGAAACGACUGCUAAUACCGGCAUGACGCAUAGGGGUCGCAUGAUCUUUAUGCCAAAGAUUUAUCGCUUCAAGAUGGCCUCGCGU
rnacentral:rRNA from 1 species